CUUGAUCGGGCCGAGCCACAGCGGCGCGCCGGCGCGCGCCUGGCCGUAGGUGGCCAGGCGGGCGUGCGCCUC
rnacentral:antisense_RNA from 1 species